AGCAGCUGCAGCUGCGUGGCAGCAGGGUUACUUUGGUCUUUUCACCUUCCAUACUUAUCUCCAACACCCCAGCACGACCCCAGGAGCUGAGAUAUGGUUGCUGGAGCUCAGGGUUUCAUCUUCUCCACUCUCUCUCUCUAGAGUUCUCUCUCUCUACGAGUAAAGUCGCCGUUUGCACCGAUUUCGCGCCGCUCUCGUUGCUCGCUGGUUGGGUGGACGUGGGGCCAACUUUUAAAAGCAGAGUUUGUCAGGGGUUCCUGCAGAUAUAAAGAAGAUAUCUAGCUGUGAUUUACUUACUUUACUCUAGGGAAAAGUUGCCUAGAGGCUUGAUACAGGUUGAGAUUCCUUCUUCGCAGCAGGUUUCUGAAUCUAAUCAAGCUUAUUUGAUGACCUUGGGGGCUGGUUUAGAAGAUGUUUUAACCUGAGCCGGCUUGCGACGGACCUUCGGAUUAUCUCUGGCUAAUACGUGAGGAAUUUUGGAGGCUUAAAUUAAGCGGAGCUGAGGCUUGAUUGUGUUGGAUUCCGGGACUCUUGGGGACUGAUGUGAGCCUCGUAAUAGAGCCAUCUACAGGAGAGGCU